UACGUAGGGGGCUAGCGUUGUCCGGAAUCAUUGGGCGUAAAGAGCGUGUAGGCGGUCCGGUAAGUCCGCUGUGAAAGUCGGGGGCUCAACCCUCGAAUGCCGGUGGAUACUGUCGGGCUAGAGUGCGGAAGAGGCGAGUGGAAUUCCUGGUGUAGCGGUGAAAUGCGCAGAUAUCUGGAGGAACACCGGUGGCGAAGGCGGCAUCCUGGACCAUUACUGACGCUGAGGCACGAAGGCCAGGGGAGCAAACGGG
rnacentral:rRNA from 1 species